UAAAUUUUUACGACAAUUGAAGCAUCCUAAUACUAUUGAGUACAAAGGCUGUUACUUGAAAGAGCACACUGCUUGGUUGGUGAUGGAAUAUUGCUUAGGCUCAGCCUCUGAUUUAUUAGAAGUUCAUAAAAAACCACUUCAGGAAGUGGAGAUCGCUGCCAUUACUCAUGGAGCCUUGCAUGGACUAGCCUACCUACAUUCUCAUGCAUUGAUUCAUAGUUCUGUCUGCCAAUGCCUAAUGUCACCAUGAGGAAGGAAACUGAAUUUUCAAGGGAAGUUUUUAUAAAAGUUAUUUUGAAGCAUUUGAACCUUAUCAUUUUCAGCUUGACAUAAAUUUUCAUCAUCUUCUCUGUUUUAUCUUUUCACUGACCAUCAACUUCCAAUUCAUGGUUUCUAGUGCUCAUUACACCUCAUGCCUUUUUUAAAAAGAAUAAGGAGUACAUCCACCCCUUCUCAUUCUAAAUUACCAUACUGAAAAAUGAAUUUUUUUAAUUAUAUUUUUAAAACUUUUUGCUAUAUAAUACCUCUAUUAGCUUUAGUAGUAACCACGUGCAAUUCUUUGUAGUAAUACAAUAGAAAUGUAAUUUCCUAACCCCUAAUCCUUGUUUGUUUUGAUCUUUCAGGGUCUUCUUUUUACUGUACAGAGUUAUUUUUAAAAUAUCACCUUCUAUAUAACAUGUACCUCAAAUGCCUUAGAGUUGCAGUUACAAUUAAAGACAGAGAGAAAGGGUCACAGGCAAGAAAGAAAAGGUAUGUGUGUAGUUGAGGUUUAUUGGUAGGUGGUCAAUACGGAAUCAUUGCAGGUUUGUUUAGGCUCCAAAAAUGUCACAUAAUUUGGAAAAGCAGAAAAAGCAGUUAAAAUUGGCACCAAUUUUCUCAGCACAGGGAAUACUAUUGAUAACUGGAUUUAGCCUUUAAGAAUAUGCCUUUGUAAGUGUAGCAGCUGAAUAGGUUUUCUUGUUCGCCAUGUCUGCCUUUUUCCUCAUUGUAUUCCCUCCCUCUGAAGAAAGCUCUACCUUUAAGUAAUUACUAUGACCUACCUGCAAGUACACCCAGGAAUCUGGGCCCCCUUACAACAUGCAGUAAUUACUAAAUCUCCUUCUGGCUAUCUGAGCAAGGGAUAUUAAAGCAGGAAAUAUUCUUCUAACAGAGCCAGGUCAGGUAAAACUAGCUGAUUUUGGAUCUGCCUCAGUGGCUUCUCCUGCCAACUCCUUCGUGGGCACACCUUACUGGAUGGCUCCAGAGGUGAUCUUAGCUAUGGAUGAAGGACAGUAUGAUGGGAAAGUUGAUGUUUGGUCACUUGGCAUCACUUGUAUUGAAUUGGCGGAACGGAAGCCCCCCCUUUUCAACAUGAAUGCAAUGAGUGCCUUAUAUCACAUUGCCCAGAAUGACUCCCCAACGUUACAGUCUAAUGAAUGGACAGACUCCUUUAGGAGAUUUGUUGAUUACUGCUUGCAGAAAAUACCUCAGGAAAGGCCAACAUCAGCAGAACUAUUAAGGCAUGACUUUGUUCGGCGAGACCGGCCACUGCGUGUCCUCAUUGACCUCAUACAGAGGACAAAAGAUGCAGUUCGUGAGCUAGAUAACCUACAGUACCGAAAAAUGAAAAAAAUACUUUUCCAAGAGACACGGAAUGGACCCUUGAAUGAGUCACAGGAGGAUGAGGAAGACAGUGAACAUGGAACCAGCCUGAACAGGGAAAUGGAUAGCCUGGGCAGCAACCAUUCCAUUCCAAGCAUGUCCGUGAGCACAGGCAGCCAGAGCAGCAGUGUGAAUAGCAUGCAGGAAGUCAUGGACGAGAGCAGUUCUGAACUUGUCAUGAUGCACGAUGAUGAAAGCACAAUCAAUUCCAGCUCCUCCGUCGUGCAUAAGAAGGAUCAUGUAUUCAUAAGGGAUGAGGCGGGCCACGGCGAUCCCAGGCCUGAGCCGCGGCCUACCCAGUCAGUUCAGAGCCAGGCCCUCCACUACCGGAACAGAGAGCGCUUUGCCACGAUCAAAUCAGCAUCUUUGGUUACACGACAGAUCCAUGAGCAUGAGCAGGAGAACGAGUUGCGGGAACAGAUGUCAGGUUAUAAGCGGAUGCGGCGCCAGCACCAGAAGCAGCUGAUCGCCCUGGAGAACAAGCUGAAGGCUGAGAUGGACGAGCACCGCCUCAAGCUACAGAAGGAGGUGGAGACGCAUGCCAACAACUCGUCCAUCGAGCUGGAGAAGCUGGCCAAGAAGCAAGUGGCUAUCAUAGAAAAGGAGGCAAAGGUAGCUGCAGCAGAUGAGAAGAAGUUCCAGCAACAGAUCUUGGCCCAGCAGAAGAAAGAUUUGACAACUUUCUUAGAAAGUCAGAAGAAGCAGUAUAAGAUUUGUAAGGAAAAAAUAAAAGAGGAAAUGAAUGAGGACCAUAGCACACCCAAGAAAGAGAAGCAAGAGCGGAUCUCCAAACAUAAAGAGAACUUGCAGCACACGCAGGCCGAAGAGGAAGCCCACCUUCUCACUCAACAGAGACUGUACUACGACAAAAAUUGUCGUUUCUUCAAGCGGAAAAUAAUGAUCAAGCGGCACGAGGUGGAGCAGCAGAACAUUCGGGAGGAACUAAAUAAAAAGAGGACCCAGAAGGAGAUGGAGCAUGCCAUGCUAAUCCGGCACGACGAGUCCACUCGAGAGCUAGAGUACAGGCAGCUGCACACGUUACAGAAGCUACGCAUGGAUCUGAUCCGUUUACAGCACCAGACUGAACUGGAAAACCAGCUGGAGUACAAUAAGAGGCGAGAAAGGGAACUGCACAGAAAGCAUGUCAUGGAACUUCGGCAACAGCCAAAAAACUUAAAGGCCAUGGAAAUGCAAAUUAAAAAACAGUUUCAGGACACUUGCAAAGUACAGACCAAACAGUAUAAAGCACUCAAGAAUCACCAGUUGGAAGUUACUCCAAAGAAUGAGCACAAAACAAUCUUAAAGACACUGAAAGAUGAGCAGACAAGAAAACUUGCCAUUUUGGCAGAGCAGUAUGAACAGAGUAUAAAUGAAAUGAUGGCCUCUCAAGCGUUACGGCUAGAUGAGGCUCAAGAAGCAGAAUGCCAGGCCUUGAGGCUACAGCUCCAGCAGGAAAUGGAGCUGCUCAACGCCUACCAGAGCAAAAUCAAGAUGCAAACAGAGGCACAACAUGAACGUGAGCUCCAGAAGCUAGAGCAGAGAGUGUCUCUGCGCAGAGCACAUCUUGAGCAGAAGAUUGAAGAGGAGCUGGCUGCCCUUCAGAAGGAACGCAGCGAGAGAAUAAAGAACCUAUUGGAAAGGCAAGAGCGAGAGAUUGAAACUUUUGACAUGGAGAGCCUCAGAAUGGGAUUUGGGAAUUUGGUUACAUUAGAUUUUCCUAAGGAGGACUAUAGAUGAGAUUAAAUUUUUUGCCAUUUACAAAAAAAAAAAAAGAAAACAGAAAAAAAUUCAGACCCUGCAAAACCACAUUCCCCAUUUUAACGGGCGUUGCUCUCACUCUCUCUCUCUCUUACUCUUACUGACAUCGUGUCGGACUAGUGCCUGUUUAUUCUUACUCCAUCAGGGGCCCCUUCCUCCCCCCGUGUCAACUUUCAGUGCUGGCCAAAACCCGGCCGUCUCUUCUAUUCAUAGUACACGUCACAGUAUUGAUGUGAUUCAAAAUGUUUCAGUGAAAACUUUGGAGACAGUUUUAACAAAACCAAUAAACCAACAACAAAAAAAGUGGAUGUAUAUUGCUUUAAGCAAUCACUCAUUACCACCAAUCUGUGAAAGUAAAGCAAAAAAAAAAAUAAUAAAUGCCAAGGGGGAGAGAGACACAAUAUCCGCAGCCUUACACCUUAACUAGCUGCUGCAUUAUUUUAUUUUAUUUUAUUUUUUUGGUAUUUAUUCAUCAGGAAUAAAAAAAACAAAGUUUUAUUAAAGAUUGAAAAUUUGAUACAUUUUA
rnacentral:sRNA from 1 species